UUUAUUUCAAUAAAUUAGUUUAGGAUGUGGAAGAUGCUUCUCACAAUCCAAAUUCCUCCUUAGUUCUAGUUUGAUUAGGAAACGUUCGCUAAUCAAACACUAGUUAACAAGUUGCCAAGGAAUGUCCUUGGGGCUUUUAGUAUCGAACAACUGUUAACUGCAUUAAGACUUAGAGAAACCUAAUUCUAACCUUGCCAACCGCGUGGUCAAGUUUAGAUUAUGCAACUUGAUUAAAUGUGUGUUUAAAUAAUCUAAGCAAUUACGGACCUAAAUUAUUCAAACAAUUAUUACUCAAGCAAUUAAAAGCAAUAGGCCUAAAUUGAUUCCAAAAGCAAAGCAACAAUUAUAGAA
rnacentral:lncRNA from 1 species